CAGCCGCCGCGGGAAUACGGAGGGUGCAAGCGUUAAUCGGAAUUACUGGGCGUAAAGCGCACGCAGGCGGUCUGACAAGUCAGAUGUGAAAUCCCCGGGCUUAACCUGGGAACUGCAUUUGAAACUGUCAGGCUGGAGUCUUGCAGAGGGGGGUAGAAUUCCAGGUGUAGCGGUGAAAUGCGUAGAGAUCUGGAGGAAUACCGGUGGCGAAGGCGGCCCCCUGGACAAAGACUGACGCUCAGGUGCGAAAGCGUGGGGAGCAAACAGGAUUAGAUACCCCUGUAGUUCCUGUCUCUUAUAC
rnacentral:rRNA from 1 species